UGGGGAAUAUUGCACAAUGGGCGAAAGCCUGAUGCAGCAACGCCGCGUGAGUGAUUAAGGCCUUCGGGUUGUAAAGCUCUGUCUUCUGGGACGAUAAUGAAGGUACCAGACGAGGAAGCCACGGCUAACUACGUGCCAGUAGCCGCGGUAAUACGUAGGUGGCAAGCGUUGUCCGGAUUUACUGGGCGUAAAGGAUGCGUAGGCGGAUACUUAAGUCAGAUGUGAAAAUCCCGGGCUUAACUUGGGAACUGCAUUUGAAACUGGGUUUGUAGACUGCGGGAGAGUAAAGUGGAAUUCCAAGUGGAGCGUUGAAAUGCGAAGAGAUAAGGAGGAACACCAGGGGCGAAGGCGACUUGCUGGACCGUAACUGACGCUGAGGCAUGAAAGCGUGGGGAGCAAACA
rnacentral:rRNA from 1 species